GCGGACUGUUAAUCCGUAUGUCACUGGUUCGAGUCCAGUCAGAGGAG
rnacentral:tRNA from 1 species